rnacentral:rRNA from 1 species
GCCCAAGAGAUCGGGAUAACACCUGGAAACAGAUGCUAAUACCGGAUAACAACAGAUGAUGUCUAUCAACUGUUUAAAAGAUGGUUCUGCUAUCACUCUUGGAUGGACCUGCGGUGCAUUAGCUAGUUGGUAGGGUAACGGCCUACCAAGGCGAUGAUGCAUAGCCGAGUUGAGAGACUGAUCGGCCACAUUGGGACUGAGACACGGCCCAAACUCCUACGGGAGGCAGCAGCC